GCUUUCGUGGCUCAGUUGGCUAGAGCGUUGGUCUCAUAUGUUGAAUAUGACGUGAUUGAUAAACAAUCAUGUGAUGACAUCCAAAGGUCGCAAGUUCGAGCCUUGCCGAGAGCA
rnacentral:tRNA from 2 species